AUUUCUAUAGUGUAAAUUCAAACAUAUUGUCCUUUCAAGACAAAGAUAUUAUUUAGAAAUU
rnacentral:tRNA from 1 species